AUUGAACGCUGGCGGCAGGCCUAACACAUGCAAGUCGAGCGUGCGGCGGACGGGUGAGGAAUGUAUGGGGACUGCCCGAUAGCGGGGGAUCACUACUGGAAACGGUAUCUAAUACCGCAUACUAUCGGCUACCCCAUGGGGGAUUAGCUAGUGGGUGAGGUAAGGGCUCACCUAGGCGACGAUCCCUCGAUGGGCUGAGAGGAUGAUCAGCAACACGGGGACUGAGACACGGCCCAGAAUCCUACGGAGGAAGCAGUGGGGAAUAUUGGGCAAUGGGCGCAAGCCUGAUGCAGCCAUGCCGCGUGUAUGAAGAAGGCCCUAGGGUUGUAAAGUACUUUCAGUCGGGAGGCGUUACCUACAGAAGAAGCACCGGCUAACUCCGUGCCAGCCGCCGCGGUAAUAC
rnacentral:rRNA from 1 species